GGCAGCUGCACCACCCACCUCCCACAAAGCCCUGGCAAGCCCUCCCUGCCCACUCCACUCACUGGAGCCUUGCCUGUUCUUGGACUUCACGUGAAUGGAAUCGCACUGUCCGUCCUCCUCUGUGUCGGGCUCGUUCACUCAGCGUGAGGAUGUCCAGACCCUUCAGCUGUUCACUGCCUUGGGUCACCAGGCAGCAUCCCGCCGCACAGCUCGUGAGUCAUCCCCUCCUGCUGCACGCCUGGCAGGGUUGGCCACUCUUGGAAGAGCUGCUUGCUACCAACAUGCAUGUUCAGGGCACCGGUCAGCUCUUUUGUGGAAUGCCCCUUAAUUUGGACGUGUCUGAUGUUUUCUCCGGAUGAGAAUGAGCUCAUACAUUUUGGCAAGAAGCGAUGUGUCCUCCGGCAUCGUAACGGGGACAACGCGGCAUCCAUCUGUCUCAUGGCCAGUGACGUUAACCUUGAUGCCAGGAUAAGGUGGAUUUCUCCAUGGCAAGACUCCAGUCCAUGACCUUCCCUGAGUUCCAAAGGGUGGAUUCGAACAGUUGCUAAUCAAGGGCGGAGCAGCCAGGAAACCACCUGAGGCGAGAUUAAAGGGACCUGAGAAGCUCAUCAAGAUUCGGAGAGCGACCACCUGAGAUGAGAUGAGUACAAGCCUUGCACACACCCUGAUCUUGUCAGCAACCCCUCCCUUGAA